rnacentral:rRNA from 1 species
GUAAAAGCCUACCAAGGCGACGAUCAGUAGCCGGUCUGAGAGGAUGAACGGCCACACUGGGACUGAGACACGGCCCAGACUCCUACGGGAGGCAGCAGUGGGGAAUCUUCCGCAAUGGACGAAAGUCUGACGGAGCAACGCCGCGUGAGUGAAGAAGGCCUUCGGGUUGUAAAGCUCUGUUUUUAGGGACGAACGAUACUUAUGUGAAAAAUAUAAGUAAGUGACGGUACCUGAAGAGGAAGCCACGGCUAACUACGUGCCAGCAGCCGCGGUAAUACGUAGGUGGCGAGCGUUGUCCGGAAUUAUUGGGCGUAAAGGGCGCGUAGGCGGGAUAAUAAGUCUGUAGUGAAACUGCGGGGCUCAACUCCGUAUUGCAAUGGAAACUGUUAUUCUUGAGUGCAGGAGAGGAAAGUGGAAUUCCCAGUGUAGCGGUGAAAUGCGUAGAUAUUGGGAGGAACACCAGUGGCGAAGGCGACUUUCUGGACUGUGUCUGACGCUGAGGCGCGAAAGCUAGGGUAGCGAACGGGAUUAGAUACCCCGGUAGUCCUAGCCGUAAACGAUGGGUACUAGGUGUGGGGAGGUAUCGACCCCUUCCGUGCC